GAUGAAGAACGCAGCGAAAUGCGAUAAGUAAUGCGAAUUGCAGAAUUCCAGUGGGUCAUCGAAUCUUUGAACGCACAUUGCGCCCUUUGGUAUUCCGAAGGGCAUGCCUGUUCGAGCGUCAUUAUCACCCCUCAAGCCCUCGGCUUGGUGUUGGACGGUUUGGUGGAGGCCCCCUCGGGGGUUCCUGCCCCUCCCAAAGACAAUGACGGCGGCCUCGUUGGACCCCCGGUACACUGAGUUCUUCACGGGACACGUAUCGGACACAUGGGUUUACGGGACACGGUCUGCCUCCCCUCAGGGAGAAUCUUUCUAAGGUUGACCUCGGAUCAGGUAGGGAUACCCGCUGAACUUAAGCAUAUCAAUAAGCGGAGGA
rnacentral:misc_RNA from 1 species